GAAAUCCCUCGGGAUGUAAACUUCGCAAGAACGGGAAGAAUAAGCCUGCGUAAAUAUCGCAGGUGAUGACGGUACCGUUUGUAAGCUCCGGCUAACUCCGUGCCAGCAGCCGCGGUAAUACGGGGGGAGCAAGCGUUGUUCGGAUUUACUGGGCGUAAAGGGCGCGUAGGCGGCCAGCGCAAGUCAGUUGUGAAAUCUCCGAGCUUAACUCGGAAAGGUCAACUGAUACUGCGCGGCUAGAGUGCGGAAGGGGCAACUGGAAUUCUUGGUGUAGCGGUGAAAUGCGUAGAUAUCAAGAGGAACACCUGCGGCGAAGGCGGGUUGCUGGGCCGACACUGACGCUGAGGCGCGAAAGCUAGGGGAGCGAACGGGAUUAGAUACCCCGGUAGUCCUAGCCUUAAACGAUGAAUGCUUGGUGUCUGGGGUUAUAAAGUCCCCGGGUGCCGUCGCUAACGCUUUAAGCAUUCCGCCUGGGGAGUACGGUCGCAAGACUGAAACUCAAAGG
rnacentral:rRNA from 1 species